rnacentral:lncRNA from 1 species
CAUAAAUUUUACCUUGGUUCUCUUCAGGCCCUCAGGUCUCUGCAGGUGUCGUGGAGGAACCUAGCACCUGCCAUCCUCUUCCCCAAUUUGCCACUUCCAGCAGCUUUAGCCUGUGAGGAGGAUGUGAGCGGGACUGAGUCAGGAGCCCUCUGGAAGCAUGGAGACUGUGGUGAUUGUUGCCAUAGGUGUGCUGGCCACCAUCUUUCUGGCUUCGUUUGCAGCCUUGGUGCUGGUUUGCAGGCAGCGCUACUGCCGGCCGCGAGACCUGCUGCAGCGCUAUGAUUCUAAGCCCAUUGUGGACCUCAUUGGUGCCAUGGAGACCCAGUCUGAG